rnacentral:rRNA from 1 species
UACGGGGGGAGCAAGCGUUGUUCGGAUUUACUGGGCGUAAAGGGCGCGUAGGCGGCCACCGCAAGUCAGUUGUGAAAUCCCCGGGCUUAACCUGGGAACUGCGCUUGUAACUGGCAAGCUAGAGUGUGGCAGAGGGGGGUGGAAUUCCACGUGUAGCAGUGAAAUGCGUAGAGAUGUGGAGGAACACCGAUGGCGAAGGCAGCCCCCUGGGCUAACACUGACGCUCAUGCACGAAAGCGUGGGGAGCAAACAGG